UCCGGCUUAUCACCGGCGAUUUCUUUAGAGUGCCCAACUUAAAUGUAGCAACUAAUGACAAGGGUUGCGCUCGUUGCGGGACUUAACCCAACAUCUCACGACACGAGCUGACGACAGCCAUGCAGCACCUGUGUAGGGCCCUUGCGGACACCACAUCUCUGCGGCUUUUCCCUACAUGUCAAGCCCUGGUAAGGUUCUUCGCGUCGCGUCGAAUUAAGCAACAUGCUCCGCCGCUUGUGCGGGCCCCCGUCAAUUCCUUUGAGUUUCAACCUUGCGGUCGUACUCCCCAGGCGGGGUACUUCCUGCGUUAGCGCCGGCACCCAGAGGGUCGCUCCCCCAGGCACCUAGUACCCAUCGUUUACGGCGUGGACUAC
rnacentral:misc_RNA from 1 species